GAAACUGAUGUAUAAAGGCUUCCUGGGAGUGAAAUGGUUCUUUCAGAAUGGCUUUUGGAUGAUACAUAGAUCUCUGAUGACAUAGAGAAACAUGCACUGCCUCAGUUGGGAUUAGAGGAUCUGAGCAGUGGCUGGCCACUCCAAUCACCAUGCUGUGCUGCCUUCUUCCAAGCCCCAUCUCACCAGAUCAUAUGGUCACAGCAGAAGGCCAACCACAAUGUUGACCUACGAGUGCAAGGCAUGUGUAAUGGGAUCAAGCAAGGUUCUCUGAGAUGCUGAAAUGAGAUACAGAAUACAAUGAUUAUAUUCAGGUUUGGGCAAUUGUGAAUAUCACUGCUGUAAACAUUCAUGCACAGGUUUUUAUGUGAACAUAAGUUUUCAUUUCUCUGUGGAAGACAAAUAGGAACAGGAUUCCUAGUUCAUAUGAAAGGCAAACCACAAAAGACAAAAAGAGAAAGAAGGACCUCCAGAGUGGGAGAAUAACUCCUCGCCUGUCAGAACUUAAACGGAGUUCAUCUCAUCAAAUAAUGUUUCCUGAAUCGCUGAGAUCUUUCACAUGAAGAGUGGGUCGCUGUGAUGAGAAAAGAUGUUUAAAGGAGUCGUGGAGGAAAUCAGCUGUUGUAGAAUCAGUCUUUUCUCCAAGGAACCCUGGUUUCUUUUAUUGGAGAAUGAUAUUAGAAACCAAGACCUGGGCACGAGUAUGCUUAUGGCUAUUGGGAUGCCAUUUCUUCUAGGCCUUCACAAGAACAGAGCUAAGAAGACUCAUGCAUGUAUUCUAAGGUUUUAUCCCACCCAGGAUGUACCUCAUAAAAGGCACCUGGGUUUUUUCUGGAUAUGGGAACCUGUGGUAGAAGGAAGCCAUCUGUCUCACCAGAAAACAGAAUGUUAAGGAACUUUUCCUAUUGCUUGAGUAUUGACAAUCAGGAUCUACAAAUGAGGACAAAGUUUUGCAUCCCAAAUUUUGUGAUGAGCCAAAAAUAUUUGGAAGGCAAGUGCCUAUCUGGGUUUUUAAUAGCUGUGCUACCAUAUCUACCACCUUAUCGUCUCCCUCUGUUGCUUAUUAAUUUAUAUAGAUCUGACAAUUGGGUGUGGGCUGAGGAGUGUGGGAUGAGGAGAA
rnacentral:lncRNA from 10 species